rnacentral:misc_RNA from 1 species
GUGAAUCAUCGAAUCUUUGAACGCAAAUUGCACUCUCUUCUGAGAGUAUGCCUGUUUGUGGUUUAGCCUAAAUAAAAUCGACGUCGUCGCUGUUUCGCGGUUUCAUUCGUGGGAACUUGGGGCAUCUUAAGCCUUUGUGUUUUUUAAUUGUCGUAAAAUUUUCUUUACGAUUCCACGAAUGUUUUUAAGAGUUUACUUCUUACAAACGUUUAA